CAGAUACGUGUCCUAAGGCAUUCGGCUGAAUGUUUGGGUUUUAGGGAAGGAAGGAUAUUCCAUGUGUAACAUUCAGUGUUGGGUGAUCUGGACUCAGUAUAGAAAGCCUAAUAUAUUGCCUGGACCUUUGAGUCUAAACAGAAUCUGAAGCAGAUCUUGAACAACUGAUCAAUCAACAACAAGAAUCAACCAUCUUGGUUUCUCAUUUGUCAAUAAGGUGCAGUAGUCCUACCCACAUAUUAGGGAAUGAUAUGCCAUAAUUAAAUACUAAUGCUUCUGUCUU